UUUAUCACGAGCCAUUUAUUCAGUAGUAGUUGGAGGAGUCUACAAAGACACCAACAAUAAGCCAAUAGUUCAAAAUCAGCACAGUUAUUUUUGCCUGAGGAAAAUCCAAGCCAGAUGGUGGCAGAGUAUCAGGAAAAGUAAAGCCAAGCUCCCAAACUGAGCAAGGAGUUUUGUAAAAUCCCCUUACUUUAGGUUUUUCUGCUCAAUCCUUUGCUAGACCAGCAAUUUAGCUUCCUACCAACUGGGUUUAUUGAACUCUUAAGUAUCACUGGAAAACAAGAUACAUAAGAUAUUCAAGCUCUCGUCCAUCCAAGCGUCCUGGUUCAUGUCUUCGUUUGCAAGCAGCCACUCGUCCCUCCUCAGACCAGUGGCAAUUCAAACAAGGGGCAAAUAAGUUCUGAGGAGCUUUGGGGGAAACUGGAAUGGUGUUUGAAUCUAUUAAAAAGCUACAGCUGACCCGAAUGGAUAAAGUCCAGUCUAUUGACUGGACAAAGGGCCCAGAGGAACUGAAGUUGCCGCUUCCUUUAGCCAUACUCCCAAGUAAGUCAGAUUUACUGAAACUGAAGUGUUUGCUUCUCCACGGGAGAAACUAUUCCGCUUGGUGGUCACAGUAAAGUAGCCAAUAUUUGAACCAACUGUUCUGCUUCCAGUCUUCCCAAUGCCAUCAUCUGCUGUGGCAUGAAGCCAACAUAUUAAGUACCAAAGAGAAUAUUCUGAAAAGCAAUUAGAUUUGCCACAGAUAGUCACAAACAUUCUUAGGCAAUUGUUAGAACUACAUUGCAGGGUCAAAUUUGUGGACCAAGGAAGACCCCCCCCCCCCCCCACUGAAGAAUAAUGUUCAUUGGAGGUCAGCUCACGCAACACACUUCCUGGGAGGUUCAGGACUUGUUUCCCACUUCCGUCAUUUAAACUAGACAGGCUCUUCAUCCCCUGUAAAGUCCCAUGCACAUGUUUAUAAUUAUUCUUCUUCUGAAGUGAGUUCCCUCUCCAGAGAGUUAAGAGGAACAAUGGGAAGAAACAGACACCCUGGGGGCAGUGAUGAGGGAGGGUCUAUGCACCUGGAAAAACCACACUAAAAUUCAGAGCUGGAAGGGGCCUCUGAGAGCACCUGGUGACUUCCCAAGAUCAUGUGGUUGGCAAGGGGCAGAGCUGGUCAGAAUUCCAGUCCCACUGACUCCUCGCUGGGGGCACUAUUCACUUAGUCAUCAUUUUAGGAGGCUGUGUCUAGUUUCUAAAUAAAGUCCAGCUAGCAAUCCAGAUCUCCUGUGCUACCCCCUGAAAUGAC
rnacentral:lncRNA from 1 species